rnacentral:lncRNA from 1 species
GCAAAACUAAUACAAUUAUGUAAAGUUUUAAAAUAAAACAAAAUUUAAAAAAAAUGAGAGUGGAGAAUGAAGCUAAAGGGUCUAAUGUCUAGCUGAUAAUAGUCUCAGGUAGAUAAAUGGGGCAGAAGCAAUAUUUGAAGAAAUACUGAUGAGAAUUUUUAAAUCAAUGAAAAAUAUCAGUUCACAGAUUUUAUCCCAAGUAGGACAAGGAUGAAAUGCUCAGUUGGGUAAACAAUAGUGAAACAGUAGGAUGCUAAGGACAAAAAGUUGUGAAAGCAGCCAACAGAAGUCGUGUAAUAACUUUCAGAGCAGAGCCAGCUAGACUUUUCUUUAGCUGACUUCUCAACAGCAGCAGUGGAAGCCAGAAACCAGUUGGAUAACUGUCUACAAUGUGUGAGAGAAAAAUAAUUUUCAACUUAAAAUUCUACACUCAGCAAAUUUAUCUCAAGAAUGAUGGUUGAAUACAGUUUCAGACGGCAAAGCAUGAGCAUGGUUGCCCCCUGCAGGCUCGUUCUUAUUAAAGGAAAUGCUUUAUAUGGUAUAUAGAAAGGUAAUGAAAGACGGAAUAAAAGACCAAAACUGUUACUUAGAUUAAUCUAAAGGAACAUUUACCAUAUGGAACAGUAAUGAUGUUUCCUGGGGUUAAGAAGUGAGGGAUUUAAAAACACAAGAAUAACAUACAAGUUGGUAGAGUAGUGAUUGGAACAAAAUCCAUUACUUUUUUUUCAUUAAAAGGAUUAAAGAGUACAAAUGCAAGCCUCAGAGUAUGAAGAAAUGGUUGCACCUCAGAUAAUGGCCAAAGAAAUAAUACUCAGAACAUCUAAAUUCCUACAUAUCAGUGAGAAAGAUGUAAAAUCAAAUAGAAAAUAGGCAAAAAAACUUGAACAAGAAAUUCACAAAUAGGAAACCCACAUGAUCAGUAAACAUAAAAGAUAUCCUUUGCCUCAUUUGUAAUAGAGAAAUGAAAAUAUAAAUCAGUGGUACUGCAUCACACAACUUCCAGAUUAAAAUAAGGAAGUUGACAAAUAACAAAUGCUGUCAAAGAUAGGAAGUAAUGGAAACUCUGUUAUCCUACUAAUAGGAUUAUAACCUCUUUGGAAAACAUUUUGACAUUCUCUUACAAAUUUGAAGGUGUUAUAGUAAACCCACUCAAGCACUCUUGCCUGGAAAAUUCCAUGGAUGGAGGAGCCUGGUAGGCUACAGCCAGGAAAAGAGUUGGACAUGACUGAGCGACUUCCCUUUCCUUUCCUUUCCAUAGUCUGUACUUCCUGUUGCAUUAUGAGGUGGGAAUUGAGUACAGACUUUGCUGCCCACUAUAUGGACUUGAUUCCCAUCUUUCUAGUUCUGUGACCUUGAGCAUAUGACUUUAUACAUAAAAAGAGUAAGAUUUUGUCUCUCCUCCCCUAGCCCCUUCCUGCAAGAAUCAGUUUUUGCCCUCUUAAGAUUUUUGUGAGGGUUAAGUGAGUUAAUCUAUGUGAACUACUCAGAACAGUACCUGGAAAAUAAUAAACACUAUAAAGUGUUUGCUAUCAUUGUUACUUGCUAAUCCUAUUGUUAUUAAUAUUACUUUACCACCAACAAAACCAAUCCUGCGUAUACUUGUGGAAGAUUAGGAUGCUGUACAAGAAUGUUCAUGUGAAGUGAGAAUUAUUUUAGCAGCUACAAGUUGGAAACGGUCCUAAUGUCCUUCAUCAGUAGAAUGGAUAAGAAGUUAUGGUAUAGUCAUGUAGAAAUGAAACGGAACCGUAUACCUUCUCAUAAUACUAAUUGAAAGAAGUCAAAUACAUAUAGUAUGAAUUCAUUUGAAGAAGUUCAAAAACAGGCCAAAUGAAACAAAAGUUGUAAGAGAUGCAGAUAUUAAUGGUAAACUUGUCAAGAAAAGCAAGUAAAUAAUAGUCAUAAAAACUGGGAGGAUGGUUGUUUGCAUGGGAACAAGGUCGUGUGACUGGGAAUGGACACAUGGGGUCUUCUGUGGUCCUGGGAGGCAGUGUUUUAUAUUUUGGGUGAUGUUCGUGUGAAUAUUUAUCAUUAUUCUUUAAUUAUGUUUUAUGCAUUCUCCUGUAUAUGUGGUAUACCUCACUGUUUCAUUUUUUAAACUAGUAAAAACUUUGCAAGUGGGAAAGCUAGCUAUUGUUCAAAAUAACAGCAAAGGAAACAGAAAUAAUAAAAAUCUCUAAAUAAACUGAAAGAUUUUUGGAGACAUUUGCUUAAGGUCAUAGAAAAAAGGUAAGAUCGUUGAAGAAGAUACCAAUAACCUCCUGCCCUGCCCAAUACCCAGCAUAGUGGGCCUUGUUUAAAGAGCAUUUCACCAUUGACUAUGGUGUUGGAUUUUUAAAACUACAAAUUACUGGGUAAUUAUUUUCCUUCUUUAUUGGUAUGGGAUAGAUUACCAGUUUAGAGGCUUAGAGUUUUUAAAAGCUCUUUAGGAAAUUUUGACAUAUUUCUGAGAUUGAGUUUUACUGCUUUACAAAAACAACAGUCCAUCAUUAAAUAAAACCAAUAAAGCAGGGAAAUAAUUAUUUUAUUUCAAUUAAGGAGCAACCACAAGUUUUCUUUCCAUCAGCUUAGUUAGCUCCCCUCUUUCUUUUAGCAUAAACCAACUCCACAAUUUCGAUGUAUUCAUAACAUUUCAUGAAGUUGGUGAAAAUGGUGAUGUAAGAACUUACCCAUUUGUGAGAGAAAUAAAAGUGUUAGUUCUGUGUCUGCACUUGUUGCUUUAAUUCAUCUGUUAUAAAAGUCUUUGCUUUCUAGCCCUGGCACCAUUUUAUAUUGAUAUGUUUCAAAUAAACUUG